rnacentral:lncRNA from 1 species
AAAUAUUUAAGAAUAGGGAUGUUGUAUCUGUCCGAUUUUUUUUACUAAGAUGUUCAAUUAAAAUAUCAUAAUAAUCAUCUUUCUUUAUUAUUAACCAAAAUAUUCAUAUUUUAAAAAAAUAUAACAAAUAGGAGACGUCAUUUAUAGUGAAGCAUGCAUUAAAAAUGCACUACAAUUACAACUACUCUUUACUGCUAAU